rnacentral:rRNA from 1 species
AGCGAACGCUGGCGGCAUGCUUAACACAUGCAAGUCGCACGAGCCUUUCGGGGUUAGUGGCGGACGGGGGAGUAACGCGUAGGUAUCUAUCCAUGGGUGGGGGAUAACUCUGGGAAACUGGAGCUAAUACCGCAUGACACCUGAGGGUCAAAGGCGCGAGUCGCCUGUGGAGGAGCCUGCGUUCGAUUAGCUAGUUGGCGGGGUAAAGGCCCACCAAGGCGAUGAUCGAUAGCUGGUCUGAGAGGAUGAUCAGCCACACUGGGACUGAGACACGGCCCAGACGCCUACGGGAGGCAGCAGUGGGGAAUAUUGGACAAUGGGCGCAAGCCUGAUCCAGCAAUGCCGCGUGUGUGAAGAAGGUCUUCGGAUUGUAAAGCACUUUCGACGGGGACGAUGAUGACGGUACCCGUAGAAGAAGCCCCGGCUAACUUCGUGCCAGCCGCCGCGGUAA